CCGUUCGUAUGUACUGAGACUAUCUCAUCAUAUAACGAAAGAACAAUGAACACAGUAACUGUGUUUUUUAAUAAAGGUGUGUUUGGAUCCGUCACUAGUCCUAUCCCGAUUAAGCACGUGGUGUUUAGAGAACAAAAUUAUGUAGAGAAUUGUAAUUAAAAAGAAAAAAAAUUAAGUAGAUGAAAAUUAAAUGAGUCCCUCUUGACCAGCAUUCUAAAAGGCUAAAAAUUAAAAGAAUCACUCUUAGAGUGCUUGACAGCCUAACCGGAUCAAACAUCAAUUUUU
rnacentral:lncRNA from 1 species